rnacentral:rRNA from 1 species
UACGUAGGGUGCGAGCGUUGUCCGGAAUUACUGGGCGUAAAGAGCUCGUAGGUGGUUUGUCGCGUUGUCCGUGAAAACUCACAACUCAAUUGUGGGCGUGCGGGCGAUACGGGCAGACUGGAGUACUGCAGGGGAGACUGGAAUUCCUGGUUUAGCGGUGGAAUGCGCAGAUAUCAGGAGGAACACCGGUGGCGAAGGCGGGUCUCUGGGCAGUAACUGACGCUGAGGAGCGAAAGCGUGGGGAGCGAACAGG